rnacentral:rRNA from 1 species
GUGGGGAAUAUUGGACAAUGGGCGAAAGCCUGAUCCAGCCAUGCCGCGUGUGUGAAGAAGGUCUUCGGAUUGUAAAGCACUUUAAGUUGGGAGGAAGGGCAGUAAGUUAAUACCUUGCUGUUUUGACGUUACCGACAGAAUAAGCACCGGCUAACUUCGUGCCAGCAGCCGCGGUAAUACGAAGGGUGCAAGCGUUAAUCGGAAUUACUGGGCGUAAAGCGCGCGUAGGUGGUUUUGUAAGUUGGAGGUGAAAUCCCCGGGCUCAACCUGGGAACUGCCUCCAAAACUGCAUGACUAGAGUACGGUAGAGGGUAGUGGAAUUUCCUGUGUAGCGGUGAAAUGCGUAGAUAUAGGAAGGAACACCAGUGGCGAAGGCGACUACCUGGACUGAUACUGACACUGAGGUGCGAAAGCGUGGGGAGCAAACAGGAUUAGAAACCCUGGUAUCC